rnacentral:rRNA from 1 species
GUUUUUUAGUAUUUAAUUAAAAGUUUAACCUGCCCAUUGAUUUUUUUUUAAAAGGCUGCGGUAUUUUGACCGUACAAAGGUAGCAUAAUCAUUAGUUUUUUAAUUGGAAACUAGAAUGAAUGGUUGAAUGAAAUAUUAACUGUUUUAAUUAAAAAUUUUAGAAUUUUACUUUUUAAUUAAAAGGUUUAAAUAAAUUUAAAAGACGAGAAGACCCUAUAGAAUUUUAUAUUAAUUAUUAUGUAAUAAAUUAAGAUAAAUUUUUAUUAUUUAUAUAUGUAAUAUUUUAUUGGGGUGAUAAUAAAAAUUUAUAAACUUUUAUUUAUUUAAACAUUAAUAUAUGAUUUUUUGAUCCAUUAAUAAUGAUUAUAAGUUUAAAUUACCUUAGGGAUAACAGCGUAAUUUUUUUUUUAAGUUCUUAUUAAUAAAAAAGUUUGCGACCUCGAUGUUGGAUUAAAAUUAAUUUUAGGUGCAAAAGUUUAAAAUUUUAAGUCUGUUCGACUUUUAAAUUCUU